ACAUGCUUACAUCAUAGCGUUAAUGCACUGGAUCGCUGUAGAACUCUGUAGUUAAGCACAUUCGGGCUAGAGUAGUACUAGGAUGGGUGACCGCCCGGGAAGUCCUAGUAUUUUACAUGCU
rfam:Picea glauca, whole genome shotgun sequence.